GAUGAACGCUAGCGAUAGGCUUAACACAUGCAAGUCGAGGGGCAGCAUGGUCUUAGCUUGCUAAGACUGAUGGCGACCGGCGCACGGGUGCGUAACGCGUAUGCAACUUGCCUCACAGAGGGGGAUAACCCGUCGAAAGACGGACUAAUACCGCGUACACUUGGGAUAGGGCAUCCUGACCCAAGGAAAUGAAAUUCGCUGUGAGAUAGGCAUGCGUCCCAUUAGCUAGUUGGUGAGGUAACGGCUCACCAAGGCGACGAUGGGUAGGGGAACUGAGAGGUUGAACCCCCACACUGGUACUGAGACACGGACCAGACUCCUACGGGAGGCAGCAGUGAGGAAUAUUGGUCAAUGGGCGAGAGCCUGAACCAGCCAAGUCGCGUGAAGGAUGACUGUCUUAUGGAUUGUAAACUUCUUUUAUACGGGAAUAACAAGAGUCACGUGUGGCUCCCUGCAUGUACCGUAUGAAUAAGCAGCGGCUAACUCCGU
rnacentral:rRNA from 1 species